rnacentral:snoRNA from 1 species
UAGAGAGAGAAAUAAAAGCAGAAGGUGAUGAUGAAAUCUUAAGAAAAUUCCUCUAUGUAAGUCAAGUUCUGACCCAG